UUUAUCUUAGUGGCGGACGGGUGAGUAACGCGUGGGCAACCUGGCCUGUACAGGGGGAUAACACUUAGAAAUAGGUGCUAAUACCGCAUAACGGGGGAAGCCGCAUGGCUUUUCCCUGAAAACUCCGGUGGUACAGGAUGGGCCCGCGUCUGAUUAGCCAGUUGGCAGGGUAACGGCCUACCAAAGCGACGAUCAGUAGCCGGCCUGAGAGGGCGGACGGCCACACUGGGACUGAGACACGGCCCAGACUCCUACGGAAGGCAGCAG
rnacentral:rRNA from 1 species